UACGUAGGGUGCGAGCGUUAAUCGGAAUUACUGGGCGUAAAGUGUGCGCAGGCGGCCGCGCAAGUCGAGUGUGAAAUCCCUCAGCUCAACUGGGGAACUGCGUCUGAUACUGAUUGGCUUGAGUGCAGGAGAGGAACGCGGAAUUCCAGGUGUAGCGGUGAAAUGCGUAGAUAUCUGGAGGAACACCGGUGGCGAAGGCGGCGUUCUGGACUGCAACUGACACUGAGGAACGAAAGCCAGGGGAGCAAACGGG
rnacentral:rRNA from 1 species